rnacentral:lncRNA from 1 species
AGCAGCCAUAUACACACAGCAGCCAGCAAGACACAAAUCUCCUCCCCAUCCCCAAACACACACACACACUUUAAACUUUCACGGGCUUCCCAGAGACUCCUCACCAUCUUCCAAGGCCCCAUGGAGUCUAGAUCCACCCACCUUUCAGCCUUUCCUUGUUCCCACCCCCCAUGUGCUGCACCCCAGCCAUACUGGUCUUUAGUUUGUAGAAUGUGCUCACACCCACCCCAGGGCCUUUGCACGCACCACUCUGUUUUCUGGAAUCAUCUUCACUUCCCUUCCCCUUCUCCUAGGUAAUUCCUGCAUAUCCUUCAGGUCUCAGCUCAAAGCUCGCUUCCAUGGGAAGCUCUCUCUGAUAUGUCCCCUUCCCUCUGAGCUGCUCACAUCUCCCUCAUAGGCUGUCAUCAUACCCCACCCUUCUCCAUAGAAACACUGAUCACAACAGCAAUUACGAAUGCUGCUAAUACAGACGUGUUAAUUACGUAUGGUGUUAACAAAAGGCCCCAUGGGCCUCAGCUUGCAUCACACACCAUCCAGGAGCUGAUCCUUAUAUCCAGGGAAAGGAAACCUCUGAUUGGCUGGGCUCACCACAGGCUCACCUUGAGACUGGGGAGGCCAUGGGACAGCCCCACUUGAACCACUUGGAUUGAAAGUGGGGAGGGUGUUCCUCCAAUGGAAAUUACCCCAGGAAGGGGCCAUAGCCACCAGCAGGGCAAGAACAACGUCCACCUGCAGUGAAGGCCGAGCGCCUGGCCUCGGCGUUUGAGUCUCUGCAGGGCUGUGCAGGGCAGAGGUCAGGGCCUGCUGGGCCAGCUGGUAGGAGUCAUGGGGAGAGCCCAGCUCUUGCUCAGCUUGGAGCUGCCAGAUGACAUCUUGAGCUCCACGAGGAGGCAGCGAGCCAGUGGGACAGGAAGGGAUGAACCGAGGCUCCAGACUGCCAGCAACGUGUCUCUGCCUGGGGGCUGGCUGAGCUGGGGCCACGAGGACCCGUCUGGAGGGCGCAGACGGCGGCACAGAAAUAAAACACAGAGAGCAGGGGAAGGAAGGGAGCAGGAAGGGUGGCUGUGGGGGAAGUUAUUAUAAAUCAGGAAGGGCUCUUACGGGUAAAAGAUCUGGGGACAAGCUCUCCCCACAGGGAACAGCAGACCCAGAGACCCUUUGGCAGAAAUGAGUGCAUCGUGUUCUAGAAGGCAGAAGAAGGUGCGCGUGGCUGGAACGUGGAGGCCGGGGGAGCAGGAGGUGGGGGAUCAGGAGCUCUGGCGAGCAGUGGGCCUUUAUCCUAGAGCAGUGGGAGCUGCUGGAAGACUGCGAUGGGAAAGAAAGGACUCUGCGGUGGGGGAGCAGGUGUCUGCUGGGUCCCAGUCCCACCUGGACGGGACUUUUUAAAUACACUGGGCUCCUCGCAGGCGCCCACUGCCAGAGAGCCGCACCCUGACUCUCCUUCUGUGCGAGGCGGUGCGGACAUCUGCCACACUGUAGACACAAUUGGAUGCUUUUCAACACCGCUCAGCCUUUAUUUUCCAACUGCUCCAUCCAGUUCAGCUGGCAUAGGGCAGGGGCGGGGGCGCUGGGGGCAGCUUCCACAGGGACAGAGGGAGGUGUCACCAUGUCCUCUGAGGGUUCCUGGGUGAGGGCCAGGCUGCCCAGUUCCGAGGCAGCUGACUUCCCGGCACUCGGGCCUCCAGCUCCCCGUUGGGGCACGCUGAUGGUGAGGAGGAGGGCUCGUGGACGUGAACCGGCUGGCAGCUGCCAGAACAGUCCCUGCCUCCUGAAGGAGGGGACAGGUGUUGGUGAGGGGCUGGCAUUCUCCCACAUCAGCUCCUAUGUCCUGACGUAACACACCCCUGCCCCCUUACCACGUGGACCCAGAGGCUGGGAGAGGGAAGUGACUUGCUUGAGCUCACAAGGCUGUAGGUGGCAGAGCCAUCGCUGGAAGCCGCCUGUCCCAGCUAGAGGGCUGAGCCCCAGCACCUCGUGCUUCUUGGUCAUUCCCUGGACAUCACAGCACAGGCGUCACUAGUGUCCAUAGGACCCAGAGCAUGGCUCCUGCCACUCCCUCUCUGGAAACAGAUUAGAGAACAGAGAGGCUGAGGACUGGCCCCGAAGCGGUGGGAGGGGAAGCUGGGGGCUGCGGCGGCUGUCCGGCUGGGAGAGGAGGGGCGGGCCUCUCGGCCACCCUUUUCUCCAUCUUUUGGCCCACCUUCCUUCAGACAUCCCGCAGGACCCCGGGCUACCCACAGUCUUCAGGUGAGCACGACUCCCCGAGCCACAGGAGGGCAACGCUUAACCCCAGUGUGUCCAGGGACAGGACCCCAGCAGAGGAGAGGCUCUGGGCCAGGGCCCAGCCGAAGGGACCAGGGCUGCUCAUCUUUCCAAGGCAGCCUCCUCAGCAAGGCCCCUGGAGGCGCUCACAUCCUGACCUCUCACAAAAGGACCACACAUCUCCUUCCAGCUGUGGUUCCAGAGUAGCCUAGGGGACAGCUGAGCCGCGGGCCUGGGCCGUGUGCCCAGCAGGGACCCGUCAACUGCUGCAGGGGUGGGCCUGGAGUGACAGAGGAGCAAAUCCCCGAAAAGAGCAUGCGUGUGUGCCAGGCGGGCACUGUUUCCAGAAGGAAGGCAGGGGCGACAGGUGAAGCUCAGAGGGAAGGGCCUAGAGGAGGAGGUGGCGUUUGCAUGGGCUGGGAGGCUUGGCUCACUGGGUGCAGAGAAGAGGGGAGCACCACGGAGAGGGAGGGAUGGUGCAGACACAGGCCCUGUGGCGUUUGGGGCAGGGGGUAUGCUUGAGUGCGGCUACAGGAUGGCGAGUGUAGUCGAGUCCAGAACGCCAGAACCAGCUCUCUGCUAGCUGGCAUGGGGCCCUCAGAAAAGUGCCCCCUGGGUGGGGACAGGCCCAGGGCUAUAAUGAAUAGAGUGCAGAAGGGGUUUGGGCCAGAUCAUGUGGUGCAUGACACGCACAACUGUGUGUAGCAGCCCUGACCAAGACGUCGGGGCUGGACUGGGCAGACCUUGUGAGCCCACUUGGAGGCCUCCUCUCUGGGGCUGAACGUGUAAGCGUGUGUGUCCCACAGUGCCUGACUAGGUCCCAGCCUCCUGCAGCAACAAGAUGCCAGUGGGAACAAGGAUGGCAGCCCCCAGGGGACAGGUGAGGAGCUACGAGCAGACUGGCAGCUCGCCCUCCCGCCAGGAGCCAGUGCUCCCUGCAGCAGGCUCGGGCAGGACGGCAGGAAGCAAUUCAGCAGCACGGGCCUGCGUGGACUCCCACCCGGCCGCCCGGGACAGGCCUCUCAACCGCCCGGCCCACCACGAGGCCAGAGGCAGGGCCGCACCAAUGACAGGAGCCAAUUAAUUCGCAUUUAAUGGGGAUAUUUUCUUUAACUGCGCAGAACCGGGGGGCAUAAAGCCCUGAUUCCUCUUCUGCGGCUUGAGCCCCUCUCGGUGGGCUCGUCUCGUUUAAUAACUCCUGCCUCAGACCGAGGGCCUUCAUCACCGCUGAGGGGGCUGGCGCAGGGUCAUCAGCAGAGGGAGCAGGGACAGACAGGUGGGACAUCGGGGGAGGCAGGGACUGCAGGUGUGGUCUCCAGAGCCCUCUCAGGGGCUACCUGCCAAGUCCAAGGGGAAGGGGGCAGUGAGCUGAGGGGCAUCCCCAGAGCCAGCCAAGCAGCCUACCCUGUCCUCGUUUGU